UACCAGCUCUCCGAGUGGUAGGGAUGCUUAUUGGGCUUAAAGCGUCCGUAGCUGGCUUUUCAAGUCUCUCGUUAAAUCCAGCGAUUCAAUCGUUGGACUGCGGGAGAUACUGUUAGGCUUGGGGGCGGGAGAAGCCGACGGUAUUCCCGGUGUAGGGGUAAAAUCCUAUAAUCCCGGGAGGACCACCAGUGGCGUAGGCGGUCGGCUAGCACGCGCCCGACGGUGAGGGACGAAAGCUGGGGGAG
rnacentral:rRNA from 1 species